ACUCCUACGGGAGGCAGCAGUGGGGAAUUUUGGACAAUGGGCGAAAGCCUGAUCCAGCAAUGCCGCGUGCAGGAUGAAGGCCUUCGGGUUGUAAACUGCUUUUGUACGGAACGAAAAGCUCCGUUCUAAUACAGGGGGCCCAUGACGGNACCGUAAGAAUAAGCACCGGCUAACUACGUGCCAGCAGCCGCGGUAAUACGUAGGGUGCGAGCGUUAAUCGGAAUUACUGGGCGUAAAGCGUGCGCAGGCGGUUAUGUAAGACAGAUGUGAAAUCCCCGGGCUCAACCUGGGAACUGCAUUUGUGACUGCAUGGCUAGAGUACGGUAGAGGGGGAUGGAAUUCCGCGUGUAGCAGUGAAAUGCGUAGAUAUGCGGAGGAACACCGAUGGCGAAGGCAAUCCCUGGACCUGUACUGACGCUCAUGCACGAAAGCGUGGGGAGC
rnacentral:rRNA from 1 species